AUUGAACGCUGGCGGCAUGCCUUACACAUGCAAGUCGAACGGCAGCACGGGGCAACCUGGUGGCGAGUGGCGAACGGGUGAGUAAUGCAUCGGAACGUACCUUUCAGUGGGGGAUAACGUAGCGAAAGUUACGCUAAUACCGCAUAUUCUGUGAGCAGGAAAGCAGGGGAUCGCAAGACCUUGCGCUGAUUGAGCGGCCGAUGUCAGAUUAGCUAGUUGGUGAGGUAAAGGCUCACCAAGGCGACGAUCUGUAGCGGGUCUGAGAGGAGGAUCCGACACACUGGAACUGGGACACGGUCCAGACUCCUACGGGAGGCAGCAGUGGGGCAUUUUGGACAAUGGGGGCAACCCUGAGCCAGCAAGGCCGCGUGAGUGAAGAAGGCCUUCGGGUUGUAAAGCUCUUUCGGCCGGGAAGAAAUCGCACGGGCUAAUACCCUGUGUGGAUGACGGUGCCGGAAUAAGAAGCACCGGCUAACUACGUGCCAGCAGCCGCCGUAAGAC
rnacentral:rRNA from 1 species